rnacentral:rRNA from 1 species
UACGUAGGGUCCGAGCGUUGUCCGGAAUUAUUGGGCGUAAAGGGCUCGUAGGCGGUUUGUCGCGUCGGGAGUGAAAACUCAGGGCUCAACCCUGAGCGUGCUUCUGAUACGGGCAGACUAGAGGUAUUCAGGGGAGAACGGAAUUCCUGGUGUAGCGGUGGAAGUGCGCAGAUAUCAGGAGGAACACCGGUGGCGAAGGCGGUUCUCUGGGAAUUACCUGACGCUGAGGAGCGAAAGCAUGGGGAGCGAACAGG